rnacentral:miRNA from 1 species
UCGUACCGUCAGUAAUAACGGA